GAUGAAGAACGUAGCGAAAUGCGAUACGUAAUGUGAAUUGCAGAAUUCAGUGAAUCAUCGAAUCUUUGAACGCAUAUUGCGCUCUCUGGUAUUCCGGAGAGCAUGCUUGUUUGAGUAUCAGUAAACACCUCAACUUCCAUAUCUUUUUUGAAAUGGGAGUUGGACUUGAGUGAUCCCAACGCUUUUCCUCACCGAAAAGUGGCGGGUUACUUGAAAUGCAGGUGCAGCUGGACUUUUCUCUGAGCUAUAAGCAUAUCUAUUUAGUCUGCCUAAAAAACAGAUUAUUACCUUUGCUGCAGCUAACAUAAGGAGAUUAGUUCUUGUGCUGACUGAUGCAGGAUUCACAAAGACAGCUUCGGCCGACUUUGUAAACUCGAUCUCAAAUCAAGUAAGACUACCCGCUGAACUUAAGCAUAUCAAUAAGCGGAGGA
rnacentral:misc_RNA from 1 species